AUUGAACGCUGGCGGCAUGCCUAACACAUGCAAGUCGAACGAGAGGCGGACGGGUGGGUAAUGUCUGGGCAACUGCCUGAUGGAGGGGGAUGACUACUGGUAACUGUGGCUAAUAACGCCUACCACCGGCGGUGCCCAGAUGGGAUUAGGGAGUGGGUGGGGUAAAGGCUAACCUAGGCGACGAUCCCUAGCUGGUCUGAGAGGAUGACCAGCCACACUGGAACUGAGACACGGUCCAGACUCCUACGGGAGGCAGCAGUGGGGAAUAUGGCACAAUGGGCGAAAGCCUGAUGCAGCCAUGCCGCGUGUAUGAAGAAGGCCUUCGGGUUGUAAAGCACGUUCAGCGGGGAGGCGUUACCUGCAGAAGAAGCACCGGCUAACUACGUGCCAGCAGCCGCGGUAAUAC
rnacentral:rRNA from 1 species